UUUGAAAUCUCCGGUGCUUGCAUCGGCGAGUUGUAGUUGCGAGGAAGCACUUUCUAGGUGGAUCGGUCGCGCCUAAGUUGCUUGGAACAGCACGUCGCAGAGGGGUGACAACCCCGUCUGUGGCGCGGCCGGCCGCUGACGAUGUGCUUUCGAAGAGUCGGGUUGUUUGGGAAUGCAGCCCAAAAUGGGUGGUAAACUCCAUCUAAAGCUAAAUACUGGCGUGAGACCGAUAGCGAACAAGUACCGUGAGGGAAAGAUGAAAAGAACUUUGAAAAGAGAGUUAAAAAGUACGUGAAACCGUUGAAAGGGAAACGAAUGGACUCAGCAAUGCGCCGUUUGAGAUUCAGCCGGUGGGUGGGAUCGGCGCGGGGUUUGCGGAUCUGAAUGGACCGCGGCCUCGAGCUCGUUUCUUCCCGCCGUCGCACUUCUCUUGGGCGCGCGUCAACGUCGGUUGGGACUGGGUCUGAAAGGUGCCGGGAAGGUAGGUCUGGACCUCCGGGUUCGUUCUGUUACAGCCCGGUUCUCUCAUGGCUCGGGCCCGACCGAGGAGCUGCAGCGCAUGCCUCUUGUGGCUAGGGUCCCGUCCUUCCGGCCGGUUGUCGAAUGUGGUGGACUGCUUGCAGUGCUCCGCGACUGCUGCCGGUCGUUGGGGUGGUGAUCUCGUACCAUG
rnacentral:rRNA from 1 species